rnacentral:rRNA from 1 species
GACGAACGCUGGCGGCGUGCUUUAGGCAUGCAAGUCGAACGCGAAAGCCCCUUCGGGGGCGAGUAGAGUGGCGAACGGGUGAGUAACACGUGGGUAACCUGCCCCUCGCAGGGGGAUAACCGGGGGAAACCCCGGCUAAUACCCCGUACGCUUGCUGGGGCGCAUGCUCCGGCAAGGAAAGGUAGCUUCGGCCAUCCGGCGAGGGAGGGGCCCGCGGCCCAUUAGCUAGUUGGUGGGGUAACGGCCCACCAAGGCGACGAUGGGUAGCUGGCCUGAGAGGGUGGUCAGCCACCCUGGGCCUGAGACACGGCCCAGACUCCUACGGGAGGCAGCAGCCAGGAAUCUUGCGCAAUGGGCGAAAGCCUGACGCAGCAACGCCGCGUGGGCGAUGAAGGCCUUCGGGUCGUAAAGCCCUGUUGUCGGGGACGAAGGGCGAAGGGUUAAGAGCCCCUAGCCUGACGGUACCCGACGAGGAAGCCCCGGCUAACUACGUG